rnacentral:rRNA from 1 species
GGCUUACACAUGCAAGUCGAGGGGUAACAGGAGUAGCUUGCUAUUUGCUGACGACCGGCGCACGGGUGCGUAACGCGUAUACAAUCUACCUUUUACAGAGGGAUAGCCCAGAGAAAUUUGGAUUAAUACCUCAUAGUAUUAUAAAGUGGCAUCAUUUAAUAAUUAAAACUUCGGUGGUAAAAGAUGAGUAUGCGUUCUAUUAGCUAGAUGGUAAGGUAACGGCUUACCAUGGCAACGAUAGAUAGGGGUCCUGAGAGGGAGAUCCCCCACACUGGUACUGAGACACGGACCAGACUCCUACGGGAGGCAGCAGUGAGGAAUAUUGGACAAUGGAGGUAACUCUGAUCCAGCCAUGCCGCGUGCAGGAAGACGGCCCUAUGGGUUGUAAACUGCUUUUAUAUAGGAAGAAACCGUUCCACGUGUGGAACUCUGACGGUACUAUAUGAAUAAGCACCGGCUAACUCCGUGCCAGCAGCCGCGGUAAUACGGAGGGUGCAAGCGUUAUCCGGAAUCAUUGGGUUUAAAGGGUCCGUAGGCGGACUAAUAAGUCAGGGGUGAAAUACCACAGCUCAACUGUGGAACUGCCUUUGAUACUGUUAGUCUUGAAUUAUAUGGAAGUAGAUAGAAUGUGUAGUGUAGCGGUGAAAUGCUUAGAGAUUACACAGAAUACCGAUUGCGAAGGCAGUCUACUACGUAUAUAUUGACGCUAAUGGACGAAAGCGUGGGGAGCGAACAGGAUUAGAUACCCUGGUAGUCCACGCCGUAAACGAUGGACACUAGUUGUUGGAUUUAUUCAGUGACUAAGCGAAAGUGAUAAGUGUCCCACCUGGGGAGUACGAUCGCAAGAUUGAAACUCAAAGGAAUUGACGGGGGCCCGCACAAGCGGUGGAGCAUGUGGUU